AUUGAACGCUGGCGGCAUGCUUUACACAUGCGAGUCGAACGGCAGCGCGGGCUUCGGCCUGGCGGCGAGUGGCGAACGGGUGAGUAAUGCAUCGGAACGUGCCCAAUAGUGAGGGAUAGCCCGGCGAAAGCCGGAUUAAUACCGCAUACGACCUGAGGGUGAAAGCGGGGGACCGAAAGGCCUCGCGCUAUUGGAGCGGCCGAUGUCGGAUUAGCUAGUUGGUGGGGUAAAGGCUUACCAAGGCGACGAUCCGUAGCUGGUCUGAGAGGACGACCAGCCACACUGGGACUGAGACACGGCCCAGACUCCUACGGGAGGCAGCAGUGGGGAAUUUUGGACAAUGGGGGCAACCCUGAUCCAGCCAUGCCGCGUGCGGGAAGAAGGCCUUCGGGUUGUAAACCGCUUUUGUUCGGGAAGAAAUCCUCUGGGCUAAUACCCCGGGGGGAUGACGGUACCGGAAGAAUAAGCACCGGCUAACUACGUG
rnacentral:rRNA from 1 species